GCACUGCUGAGGAGUUUCAUAGUAGGACGAAACGGCCGUCCAGUGU
rnacentral:hammerhead_ribozyme from 1 species